rnacentral:rRNA from 1 species
UACGGGGGGGGCAAGCGUUGUUCGGAAUUACUGGGCGUAAAGGGCUCGUAGGCGGCCAACUAAGUCGGACGUGAAAUCCCCAGGCUCAGCCUGGGAACUGCGUCCGAUACUGGAUGGCUUGAAUUCGGGAGAGGGAUGCAGAAUUCCAGGUGUAGCGGUGAAAUGCGUAGAUAUCUGGAGGAAUACCGGUGGCGAAGGCGGCAUCCUGGACCGACAUUGACGCUGAGGAGCGAAAGCUAGGGGAGCAAACGGG